AGACCAUAGAUGCUGCUCUCAGUGCGCUGCUUAUUUUUGAAUGAAAAAUGGGCACCCUCGCACUUCCCCCACUUUCCUUAGUAUUCUUCUUAAGUUAACUUCAUGUGAUUCAUGGCGGUUUCUCACCCUUCUAUGCGAAGCUGCUCCCAUUUGUGCUUUUUCUAAAACCUUACUUUCCCUUCAGCUAUGUUCGAUUUUUUAGAGCACACUGCUUUCCAUCUUCUUUUUCUCCGUCUAUGGAGUUUGAGUUGGGUCAAAUUUAGAUUUCAUCUUCAUUGAAGACUUUAUAGUUAUUCAAAGGUUGGCGGAAAUGGAGGGAGGGGUGAGGAGAAAUGGGGUGCAGGUGGGUCCGGUGAGAUUCAUCGUAUGGACGGAGCCUUCAGGCAAGCAUUGCAUGCAGAGGCAGCAAGGUACAAAGGUUCCAGUUGUAAAUUAUCUCUGCAAGAAUAGCCUUUUGGAGCACCCCCAUUUCAUUGAAGUUCCUUCUCCUCGCCCGAAGGUCUCUACCUAAGAGAUGUGAUUAGUCGUCUGGUUGUUUUGAGAGUAAAUCACAUGCCCGCCAUGUAUUCGUGGUCUUGUAAGGAGCUACUGAAAUGGAUUUGUGUGGCAGGAACUUGCUGAGGAUGAUCUAAUCAUACCAGCCCAAGGAAAUGAUCACAUCCUUAAGGGCUCAUUGCUCCUGAAUGAGGGUUCUGCAGAAGGAAAACUAUCAUUUGUUGCAUCUUAUUUGUGGAACAAUAAUAUUUAACAACAUAUCUGGUCAUGAUUGCUUUCUUUGUUGAAUGCCGUGAAAAGUGGGGGAGAAACAUGCAACACUUGAGGUCUAUAGCUUUCAGAUGAAACACGAGCUAGUUGUGUUUUAUGAUCUUUAUUUUUCUUCAUAGUGUUUUGGGGUGAGGCUUAUUAUGUAUUUUCUUUUUAACAUUUAAGGCAUGUUUGGAUUGCUGAAAAAGGAAUGCAGUGCAAA